GCUAUUCCAUGCUGAAAACACUGGUUCUCGUCCGAUCACUGAAGUUAAGCAUCAUUGGGCUCGGUCAGUACUUGGGAGGGUGAUCUCCUGGGAACACCGUGUGUCGUU